rnacentral:rRNA from 1 species
GACGAACGCUGGCGGCGUGCUUAACACAUGCAAGUGGUGCGACGAACCAGGGCUUGCCCUGGGGCCAAGCCGCGAACGGGUGAGUAACACGUGAGUAACCUGCCCCGAUGACCGGGACAACCCGAGGAAACUCGGGCUAAUACCGGAUGUGGUGCACGGAUUUAAGUCUGUGUACUAAAGGAAGCUUCGGCCUCCGCAUUGGGAGGGGCUCGCGGCCCAUUAGCUUGUUGGUGAGGUAACGGCUCACCAAGGCAACGAUGGGUAGCUGGUCUGAGAGGACGAUCAGCCACACUGGGACUGAGACACGGCCCAGACUCCUACGGGUGGCAG